rnacentral:lncRNA from 1 species
CAAAAGUGAUGGGACACAGUACUGGUUCUCAUACCAUGAGAUUUGCAUGUCAGUGUACAUUUUAUAUCUAAUACACAUAAAAUACAAUAUUUUAACCAACUUCAUACAGAAUAAAACAGCCUCUGCUACAUUUCCAUUCUCUAAUCAUCAGUACUGCUUCUACUGAACUGACUGCAUGUUUCUCUGUCUUUCUCACAGUGAUCUCUAAGCAGAGGAGGAAGACUCUGCCUGAUGACAUCUAUGAGGAGAUCGACCCCAGAUACGUCACCACCAGAAAUUAUUCAACUCAGCGGAGACGCAUCUUUUCGGAAGGAUAUGAGGAUGUGGAUGAGGAUCUUCACUCAGAAAAGUCUUUAACUGGAGUAAAAGCAGAAUAUUAUGAUGAUGUCAUCACCAGUGAUCAAAUAAGUGAAGCAGAAAAAGAGGAGCUAGCAGAAAACUAUGAUGAUGUCAUCACUGCUGAGCAGAUCACUGAUAGUUUAGCAGGUUUGAUUAUUUAAAACAAUAAACAAAAAUGUUUCACAGGAAGCA